rnacentral:rRNA from 1 species
UUGCAGUUAAAAAGCUCGUAGUUGGAUUUCGGAGUGGGCCAGUUGGUCCGCCGCAAGGUGUGUUACUGACUGGUUUGCUCUUCUUCGCAAAGACUGCGUGUGCUCUUGAGUGAGUGUGCGUAGGAUUUACGACGUUUACUUUGAAAAAAUUAGAGUGUUCAAAGCAGGCUAUUGCUUGAAUACAUGAGCAUGGAAUAAUGGAAUAGGACUUUGGUCCCAUUUUGUUGGUUUCUCGGACCGAAGUAAUGAUUAAGAGGGACAAUUGGGGGCAUCCGUAUUUCGUUGUCAGAGGUGAAAUUCUUGGAUUUACGAAAGACGAACAACUGCGAAAGCACUUGCCAAGAGUGUUUUCAUUAAUCAAGAACGAAAGUUAGAGGAUCGAAGACGAUCAGAUACCGUCCUAGUUCUAACCAUAAACGAUGUCGACUAGGGAUCAGCGGGCGUUAUCGUACGACCCCGUUGGCACCUUACGGGAAACCAAAGUGUCUGGAUUCCGGGGGAAGUAUGGUUGCAAAGCUGAAACUUAAAGGAAUUGACGGAAGGGCACCACCAGGAGUGGAGCCUGUGGCUUAAUUUGACUCAACACGGGAAAACUUACCAGGUCCAGACAUAGUA